CAGAUUUAGGAAAACAACUCACUGUUCCACUGAUCUUUUGAUGUGGACAGAAAGACUGCAUGUUGUGUUUUUUUUGUUGCACCAACAACACUGGGAGAAGGCAGCAGAAAAUGCUUCAAGAGAGAAAAAGAAGUUCAGAUACACAAGUUUGGCAGCAGUUAACUAACCUGGAUAUAAAGGCCUCAAAACAGACAGCGGAAAGCAUGACAGACACUGCAGACUGGUGACAACAGGUGAUGGCAAGUGUCAUUGGGAUUAGAUGGACUCUGGACAAUGAAGGCAGCGCCCAGAGUAGAUGUGCCAUCAAAGAGACUGCAAAACGUUCAUGAGGGACCUGCCCUGUCAACUUGUUAAGAUUUCAGGGCUCUGAUUUCUCAUCACUCUGGCAUGUUAUUGGCCCGUCCAAGACCCAAGCCCUGGUGAGUUACGGACACAGAACAAAAGACAGAGAAAAUUCUUGACUUGAACUUUUUUUU